rnacentral:misc_RNA from 1 species
UCCGGUUUGACACCGGCAGUCUCGCUAGAGUCCUCGCCAUGACGCGUUAGUAACUAACGAUAGGGGUUGCGCUCGUUAAGGGACUUAACCCGACACUUCACAGCACGAGCUGACGACAGCCAUGCAGCACCUGUGCACGUUCCACCCGAAGGCGUGGCUCUGCUUUCACAGAGUUGAUCCGUGCAUGUCAAACCCAGGUAAGGUUCUUCGCGUUGCCUCGAAUUAAACCACAUGCUCCCCCGCUUGUGCGGGCCCCCGUCAAUUCCUUUGAGUUUCAGCCUUGCGGCCGUACUCCCCAGGCGGGGCACUUAAUGCGUUAGCGCCGGCACCCAGGGGGUCGCUCCCCCAGGCACCUAGUGCCCAUCGUUUACGGCGUGGACUACC